GGCACAGAAAACACUUUCACAAGCCUGUUGAUACUGAUAGAAAGUGUAGAAAUAGAAAUUGGUAUUUCUACAUAGAAAACUCUUCUGAAUUCUGCUCUAUGCUCUGCUAAGGAUAGAAAAGGCAGACUGAGAGCUAGAAAUAAAUGCAGCUUAUUUUCCUGCUAUUUCUUACCCUAUCUUCACUAACUGGUUUCUGCAGAUGACUACAAUCAGAGAGUAUUCAAAAGGCAUCAUUUACCAGCUAUCAUGUAGUCAUUCUUUCAAACACACAUUAGUGAUGUAUCAACCAAGAGUUCUCCCAGGUCAUAAAGCAAUGACAAGCUAAGCCUAAAAUAGGAGAAAGGUUCCACAGAUUUCCCACAUAACGUGGGGUCAAAAAGGAAGGGAACAGCCUUAUCUGAGGCAUUUCACAAACAGUGCUGUGACAGAAGUCCAGAAGCGGCAGUCCAUGCUCUACCACUUCCCUACCUAAAGCAAACUGGAGCACUUUAACUUACAGUUCCUGUGAGAUUCUUGGAUCCCACAGAAAAGGAACUUGCACAGAUUCUUUUGGCAUGCCUGGUAUAAACACCCUUAUUAUGACUUAACAAAAAGAAUGGUCUUUAAGUUAACUUCACACGUGUGCAUAAUUCAAGGAAACUUGUCUUUAUCCUUUGUGAAGAAGCUGAGCACACACACAAAAAAGAAAGCAGAACAGCACAUUUGAACCUGA